UAUAUUUUAGUGUACGAAGCACAGUAGAUUUUGAUUCUUUAAGAAACAGUUUAAUUCUGUUAAAUAUAA
rnacentral:tRNA from 1 species